rnacentral:rRNA from 1 species
GACGAACGCUGGCGGCGUGCCUAAUACAUGCAAGUAGAACGCUGAAAUAAGAGCUUGCUCUUAUGGAUGAGUUGCGAACGGGUGAGUAACACGUGGGGAACCUACCUUCUAGCGGGGGAUAACACAUAGAAAUGUGUGCUAAUACCGCAUAAUAGUAUUUGAUGCAUAUCAGAUACUUGAAAGGCGCAAUUGCGUCACUAGAAGAUGGCCCCGCGGUGCAUUAGCUAGUUGGUGAGGUAACGGCUCACCAAGGCAAUGAUGCAUAGCCGACCUGAGAGGGUGAUCGGCCACACUGGGACUGAGACACGGCCCAGACUCCUACGGGAGGCAGCAGUAGGGAAUCUUCGGCAAUGGACGCAAGUCUGACCGAGCAACGCCGCGUGAGUGAAGAAGGUUUUCGGAUCGUAAAACUCUGUUGUAAGAGAAGAACGUUGAUGAGAGUGGAAAGUUCAUCA